rnacentral:rRNA from 1 species
UACGGAGGGAGCUAGCGUUGUUCGGAAUUACUGGGCGUAAAGCGCACGUAGGCGGCUUUGUAAGUUAGAGGUGAAAGCCCGGGGCUCAACUCCGGAACUGCCUUUAAGACUGCAUCGCUUGAAUCCAGGAGAGGUGAGUGGAAUUCCGAGUGUAGAGGUGAAAUUCGUAGAUAUUCGGAAGAACACCAGUGGCGAAGGCGGCUCACUGGCCCGGUACUGACGCUCAGGUGCGAAAGCGUGGGGAGCAAACAGG